GUAAUUUGUUAAGAGGAUAUUAAGCAAAGUUGUAGCUCUCAUCAAGACGAACAACUUUUGUUAAUAUCUUCUCAACAAAAUAUGCAAGCGUAAGGUGUUACGUUCUGCGCAUGCGCACUGCUAUCUCCUUCAAUACGCGUAAUUUGUUAAGAGGAUAUUAAGCAAAGUUGUAGCCCUUAUCAAGACGAACAACUUUUGUUAAUAUCUUCUCAACAAAAUAU
rnacentral:miRNA from 1 species